GAGAGAGGCCUGUAGCAAUAGAGACUGCUAAUCUCUACCCCCCGCAGUUAAAAUCUGCGGCUCACUCG
rnacentral:tRNA from 2 species